UCUUUUUCCCCGCCCCUAAUGUUUCUUGGACCAUUUCUUGAUUCUGUUGAAAAGUGAGGUGACAACGGAGCAUCGGAUGUAGUCUUUGAGCAGAUUAGACCUUUAGCAACUCGAAAGGCGCCGGCGCGCUAGGUUUAUAGGUUCUUGGGGGUCAUGGUACUAUGUCCGUGAUGCGCGUUUCUUGAUUUGCUUGCGAGGAUGGAUGAGAGAGUAGCUCUGAGGAACUUAGGAUCCGGUGGACUUGUGUUAUGUUAUUUCAUCUUCUCAGGAGGUGAUAUUUGGUUUAGCUCUGAGCCCCGUUUGCAUUCUGCUGUCAUUUGCUAGAAAGAUGGACUAAUUUAUGGACUCGUCUGUGCCUGGCUGCCUGCGUCCUUAGGUUCUAAGGGAUUGCUCUUUCUUUAUGUCUGUGAGUUUCUUCUUCGUUGUGGCAUGGCAAUACGUCAUUGCAUUAUUAUCUGGUUGUUCGAUGUGCGUUAUUGGCUAUUUUUCAGUUGGGUGGUCGAAUUUUCUACUGGUAGAUUUAGAUUUUUUAGGUUCUUAGUUAGCACAUAAAGGCUAUAACUGCAAAUCGGUAGUAAUAUUGAGGCCUUAUUCAAAGAGUUGGGAAAAAAUGUUUUACGAGGAAUUACACCUUCUAGGAAUUCGUGGUAACCUUGAUUCUUGUGUGUUAUGAAAAAGGCAUACAUGCAUAACAGACUCACUGUGCACACAAGUUGGGUGCAGGCAUCUGUGCUUAUUUUCCACCUACAUGCACAAAACAAAGGAGCCAACAAACCAGCUUGGGCCACGUCACCCACCAUCCCACCCACCAGGCAAGCUUGCAUGUAGCGAAUCUUUUGUUGAUUCCAAUCGUUAAAAUGCAAUAUCUCUAGAACCACAGAUCCGAUUUCGAUUCGUUUGAAGCAUAUUAUUAGAAAAAAAUGUGCUUAACAAAAUGAGAUCCAUGAAGGCUAUAUUUUGAUAAAGUUUUAGGAUCAUAACGGAGUUACAUCCAUGUAAGUCACCUAGUUGCGUUUUGUGCUAUACUGCAGUUACAACUUGAAUUAUAGUUGUGAUUCAGAAAUAGUUGAGUUACAAUAGGCUGAGCGACAUAGUUACAACAUGGUAGAUACUCUAGUUACGACAACAUAAUUACAACAUAGUAGACAUUGUAGUUACGAUAAUGCAUUGUCUAGUGAUUACAAAUCAUAACAUGGUAUACUCUAGUUACAACAUGGUGAACACUCUAGUUACAAUAUGGUAGAUAAUCUAGUUAUGACAUGUAUGAUUGAGUGUGGAGUAGUUACAAUAUAGUAGACAUUUUAGUUACAACAUACUAGACAAUAUAGUUACAACAUGGUAGACAAUCUAGUUACAAUAUGUAUGAUCGAGUGUUGACUAGUUACAACAUGGUAAACACUCUAGUUAUAACAUGCUGAACAAUAUAGUUAUAACAUGCUGAACAAUAUAGUUACAACAUUACCGAUUGCAACAUGAUUGCAACUCAGUAGUGCAGUGAAUCGUAACCUUUUUAGUCACAACAGUCGUAGUUAUGAUUUAGUUACAACUGAUCGUUACUCGUAGUAGACCUUAUUAGGUAACCUAACCAUAACCGAUAAUAAUUCGUGCUGUAUAUGAUAGCAACCAGAAAUACUCAUACUGAAAGUGGUAGCAACUUGUAGCGAAUAGGAUCGUGAUUUUUAUGAAAUUUUAGUGAAUAAUACCUGAUUGUAAUUCAUUAGUAUAAACGAUCUCAACUAUAUAGUAAUAACAAUCGUAAUUAUGAAUUUUUUUGAUCACAAGUAUCGAAAACUAUGUGGAGAACCUAAAUGUAACUAAUCGUAAUUUGUGAUGGAUAUGAUUGUAUCUUAGAAGCAUUCCUUGUCGUAAUUGAUAGUAACUCAUAGUGGAUAAGAUCGUGAUUCAGUGAAAGCAUCGAAACUUAUGGAUCGAAACUCAGUAUUGCAGUGAAUCGUAACCUUUUAGUCACAGCAGUUGUAAUUACGAAAAUUCUGAUGUAAUUGAAGAAAUUCUAAUUGUAAUCAUUUAAAUUUUCUCAAAACAUAGCCUUCAUUGAUCUUGUUUUGUUAAGCACAUUUUUUCGAACAAUAUGCUUCAAAUGAAUCGUCAAUCGGACUUACUGUUCAAGAGAAAUCACAUUUUACGGAUUGAGAGCAAGAAAAUAUUCCCUGCAUGCAUGGCUCGUAGAGUGGGAAGGGAGGUGUCGUGGCAUGCUUGGAUUGGUUUUGUUGUUUGACUUUGACUCCAUGGGAGUGCUUUGGUGCAUGAAUUGGCCUAGGCGUGCGGACCGGGGCUCAGUCUGGUGCCACGGUGCGGCAGUUUAAUCUGCGAUGUGAUAUCUUAAAAAAUUCAUAACAUAUGUAGUUUCAAACAACAAACUACAGGCAGAAGUAAAUGUUAUAUGGAGAUAAAUCAAGGGGGCUGAAAAGGGAGACUGAAGAUC